CAGCACUCCAGAUGUUUUGGACUACACCUCCCAUGAUGCUUUGCCAGCAUUAUGGGGGAUGUAGUCUACAACAUCUGGAGUGCCA